GCAUUGGAACCUGCUUUUGGAAAAAUUUCACAUCUGUCAGCUGAUGAAGACACAACGCCCAAAUACGCUGGCCGCAAGAGUCAGAGUGCCACUCUCCUGGGACAAAGAUGGUCAUCUAACCACUUAGCUCCUCCAAAGGUGACCCUUCGUGCUUAUCGUCUGUAAAGAGCAGCAGAGCUUCUGUACCCAAACACACACAUCCCAUCAGCUCCUCACCACACAGUUUCACCUCCCUGGGGGAGCAUGGUGCUCCCUGGAGUCCUGCGUUUUUCCAAGGACAUGGGUGCAUGCCUUUCAAACAAGAUCCUAAACCACAGCACUUCCUGCUGUAGGGCAGAUUCCAAGUCCUGCCAGCUGCUUCCCUCUGAGCUCACUCACGGCAGCAAAUGUCUGGCUGGGGCCGAGUGGACUCGGGGGCUUUGUUUCCGUGGGUGCCACCCACGGAGGUGAUAUGUGUGGCGCUCUCGCCACAUGCCAUGGCCCGUGCGUCUGGGGGCUCGCAGCCUCCCACGAUCCCUGCUUCUGCACUGCGGUCUUGCACCUGCUGCUUGUCAGCGUGGACUCCUCUGAACAGGGGCUGUGCCGCUUGCUUGGGGGCCACAGUGCAGGAUGCUAUUUUGUCUCCAACACAUUUUUCCUUGUUAAAAUUAGCUCCUCUUUAGAACCUUCUGCUGGCCAGUGUGUCUCUUCCCAUCCCAGCUUUGUGUCACCCUCACACUCGGGAGGCAAAUCUCGUGAGUCCUGAGCCAGCAACUGAUACUGGGUCGAUGUGGAUGGAGAAGACUGCCCCCCCAACUCCUGAAGAUGAUUUAUCCCCUCGCUUCUUUCCCAAAGCAACUGCUGAGCAGAUAACACUUUAUUCCCUGAAGGAAGAUCAGAAAUCUACUCCAAGCAUUUGUCACAAGUAGGAAAAUAGUCCUUUCAGAUCCUAUGAGUACAAAACAUCGAAAGUCCCAGGACGUACUGCAUAGGUCCAGCCUCCUGUGAGACACGGACUUCUCUCACGCUUCUGCAUUGACCUGAGUUAAUCACACGCGUGCUGGACAAUGUACGAGUAAAUAGAUAACUGAAUGGGUGGCUUAUCCACGCCUCCAAACCCUGAAUUUUUAAGCAGCAGAAAAGCCAAUGAGUUUAAAGACAGAAAGAAUUAACUCGGGGAAAACACCACCACAGGAAGAUAGAGAGAAAAGUCCUCCCGGGAGACGUCAAGACAGAAGUCCAGCACCCACUGGAAGGCCGACUCCCGGUGCAGAAAGACGGGGGGUGUCUGAAGACGGAAAGAUUAUGCAUCCAUCUUCCCGAAGUCCGCAAAACUCCGGUGGCAGAAAAUCACCAGUGCAGGCUUCCCAGGCCACCACGCUGCAGGAGCAGACGGCAGCAGCCAGAGGAGCUGACAGAAGCUCAUCAGUCUUAGGGAGUUCUGAAGGCGGAUUUCUCAGCCGCGUUCAAGCUGACGAGUUCGCCAGUUCUGCCCCAGACAGUGCAGAGCGGCAGAAUCUUCCUGUAAACCCACCAUCUUCCCUGGAAAUAGCACAGGCCAUGGACACUAAGAUGAAAAAGGAGGAAGUACAGGAAGAAAAACGACAUCCAAAGGGCAAGGCAGAUGACUGCCGGCGGUCCGGUUUCCCGAGUGAAUUUCCAGGAGCUCUGCACGCCGCUCCCUCCAGACAGGACAUGGGGCCCUGACCUGGAGGCCAGGCGUUUCUAGCAUUGUUGACUGCCAGUUUAUUCCCAGUAAAUAAAGCAAUACGCUUUUCAGGAGGAAGAUUUGUUUUAAAUACUUAAAAAAAAACCCAAAACUAUAGCCUCAAAUAUCUUCCAGCCACCACAUUUUAGCCCUUGAGGAGAGCUCAGUUCCGGAAGGACGCGUCAAGGUGGCGGUGGUCG
ensembl:lncRNA TCP10L3 t-complex 10 like 3 (pseudogene)